CGCCCUAUAGUGAAAAAAACCUCUCAAAAAAAAGAAAAUGUGUGUUACAAUAAAAACGGUGUAUGGGGUUCAUUUUCUUUUGGCGCCAAAAUAAGCUUCCAUGUUAAGUCCACUUUUCCAAUGAACUUUUUGAAGUCCCCUAAUAUUACCCUUAAACCGAUGGCUCUGUAUCACUAGGCGGUUUGCGUGCUUGCGGCUGGCGUUUCGGUUUUCCCAUCACUCCCUCGCUGCCUCGUGACCCGUCCUUUUCUGGGUUGCUUGUCUUUUGACAGUGCCCUUUUACCCAGUUCAUGUUGUCUAAUCCGGCUGCCUUCGGGUCGCAAAACUAAGGGUCCAGUCCUUUUUAGAACUGGUGUAAAGGAGGAGUAAAUAGACCGCGAGUAAACAUGAAUGAGGGUUUCCCUUGUGCCUGCCGGAAGGCUUGGUUAGAACUUAGUUCGUGUUGAUUUUCUGUGAUUAUCAGAAAAGAGGAAGGAGCCUGGGAGAGACAGGGACUUCCGGGACUGCUGGCCUGCUUUUCCUGGAGUGCCUGGAGCCGGAGAAAGAACCAAGAUGCCACCUUGUCCAGUGGCCCAGCUCAGGAUAACUUCCAGGACCCUGAGGAGGAGCUGGCCCUGACGGCCAUAUUUCCCAAUGGAGACUGUGAGGACCUUGGAAAGGGACCAAAAGCCUGCGAUGGAGUCAUCCAUGCUCCUGCUGAGCCUGCCGGUGACUUGAGAUGAAGGCCGGAACCUCGAGCUGUCACUGGCGCUAACCCUCCAUGCCCGGCUCCUUGCUGUGCUCACGUGUCUCCACAAAGACCUGGACUGGUGGGAACUUCAAAGAUCCCAACUGCUGGGGACGGCCACAUCCACGGUUGUCUCUCAGGCAGUGGGACUCACUAAGCAGGCAGAACCUAGGAAAUGUGUGGCCUGGGACCCAGCUCCCGACCUCACAGCGGCUGGCUCCAGGGUCGCGCUGAAGCUCUUGUGCCUCUCCGUGCCUUGGUUUCUCUAUGCCAUGGGGACCUCUGGCUCUGCUUUGAGACUGUGCAGUGCUGUGGUGUCCCAUGGGGUGUGCAGCUGGAAAGAACUCUGGGUCAGAAGUCAUUCAAUCUGGGGUGUGGCCUUGGAUGUGUCACUGUCUCUGGGGCUUCUGUUUCACAACUGCGAGAGGGGGGCUGCCAGCUCAGUGGCUUUAACCUGCCCCGCAGGCAGCCUUAGAAAUGUGCAUGUGUGCAUUCUGGGGUUCCUGUGGCUGAAUAUUACGUGGGCCUCUUGUAAUAUAGUGAAGAAUUAGUUCACUCAAAAUGUCAAUCCUGACACCUUCAAUCUCUUCUUCUUGUCAAGUUCUAGGAAGAAGCCACAGUGCAGAGAGUCAGGUGUCCUGGUACUUUGACUCCCAGCAGACCAGAAUAAAGAGCACGCUGUUGCCCCAGGGGCCUGUUGGCCAGAGCCACGGUAGCCCACGUGCUGCACGGUCAGGACAGAGACAGCUGUUCACCCCCGUGUGGAGGAAGGGCCUCUUUCUUCCUCACAUUGCCAUUGACUUUCUGUGCCAAGUCCUUGGAGGAUCGGAGUGUGGGAGCUGCCCUUGACACCAGGCAGCCAGGGGGCUUGCUCUGGGUCUCGGGUCCUCGCCCAAGGUCAAGGCAGACAAAGGCCAGAGGUUCUUGAAUCCUUUCCUCUAGGUCUGAGUCACAUGGGAUUGAAGCUGUUCCCUGCAGGGCUGGGAAGGCCAUCAUUCACUCGCAGGGAACUCUGCCUCCCCUCUCUCCAUGCCUGUCCCUGGAGAGAGCCAAAGUCUGAAAUGGCAAAGGCAGCUCCACUCUCCCUAGUGGGAGACCCUGGCCGAGCAGGGGCUAAGUCCUCACGCUCGUGCUCGGUUCGCUCCGCAGACACAGUGGUGCCUGUGACUGGCUGCCAGGUGCUGCGUGACUCCCACUAGCGACUUCGGCUCUCUCGAUCCUGGUGCCAAACUGUGAAUACAAUACCCCUAGAGAGACUCUAGGAUGUUACGGAGGGGCCCUCCCUGCUCUGGGCCUCAGUUUCUUCUCUAUGAUAGGGAGCCUCACCCUGUCCCUUCCCAGCUUCAUGGGGACAGUGUGAGGACAAGCAGGGUGACAUCUUCAUUUGGGUAGGUUGGCAGCAGCAUCAUUUUAAUGAUGCAGAGCUGUCUCAUCAAUAGAUGGGCCUGGUAGGUCUUUGUCCACGUGAGAAGGAACUCGGUGAAUUUUGAUUAAUCGAUUUACUGAUCUUGAAGCUGCUAUAUUUUUCCUAUUAAUUUCUUUAUAUAAUGGAAGAUUGCUAAUUUAGUUGAGGGUGGGAACUUCCUUUUAAGUUAAGAAUUUGUCUACGGUAGAAGUUACAAGCUUUGGGGCCAGUCCUAUGGCCUAGUGGUUAAAGGAGCCAGAUCCCACAUGACCAGCUGUGCAGUUGGGAGCUAGCCACAGCAACUUGAAAAAAGG